CAGGCAUUCAACAACAGCUACCAGAGCAUCCCUGCAACUCUGAACACCACAGGUAUUUGGCUGAAGGUCUUAUUGCCUUUCCCCAGGCAGGCACACAUAUACACACUGUUGGGGCAGAAUAAACACUUGGCAACUCUCCUACCCCCUUAAUGCAGUAGCCAAGAGACUGAGACAGUUUCCUGGGAACAAGAACGCCAGCAGACUGUGUGCUUCUCACCUGUGCUGGGCAUCGCAUCAAGGGAUCUCAGAUCUUCAUCAUGGAAGGUUAGCUGGUCAACACUCAGUGACAUCAGCAGAAGCCAGCAAAAUACAAGGUCAGGAAGACAUCGCCUGUUGCUACUUCAAAGAAACAAUGACAGAAGCAUGGAGAUGUUUUCAAAAGCAGCUUUGUCCUUUCGCAGACAGCUAAGAGCUUCGUCUUCCUAGGGCCAACAAGGCUUCUCAUAGCAGAAAAUACUUGUGCAAAGAUAACACAGAAGCAGCAAGGUAGGAUUUCUCAACUGCUGUCUCUGAGAAGAUCCACUUAUCCUGUGGGAGGAAGUUCAUGGUACAUGAACUGUAUCUAAUUGGGAGAAAUUAGGUCUGGGAAUAUUUGUCUAGAAGGAGACAACAAGGCAGCAGAGACUCAUGUGACUCUGAUAAGAUGCAGGAGGCUGGCACGCUUGCCAGGCACCAUGAAUUACAUCAAAGCUGUUCUAAUGAGCAAGAUGUUUAUGUUCGUGAAUUGGUGGCAAUGCAACAAAAAGAUAUUUCCAGCUCAGGAUUAAUUCUGGGUGCAAACUCCGGCUUUCCAGACUGCUAAUUAUUCUUUUAAUGUUUUUUAAGCAGCACCAGAUCUGUUACUAUCGUGUUUCAAGACAAGCUGUACAGUUCUUUUUUGGAGAAGUGGGAUUUUCAAAGAAAAGGUUCAGUAAACAGAAAACAAAUGGGCCAGACAGUUGUUGAGUGGCUGGGAGACACAGUUUGUGAAACAGACUGGAAGAGUUCCCUCCCCAAACCUGCUUCCACAUUCAAUGUGGCAAGCACGUGUCUGGAGACAAGCAGCUCAGAUCUGGAGUGCUUGCAGAAGGAGAUCAGGUACCCCCAUGCCUGCCACGUGCCCCUUAAAUCUUAUGUGCACACAGGCACAAGGCAGGCAUCAGGGUGGAGCACAUGUAACAGCACUUACCUGAAUUGGCCUGGCAACAGCACUGGUCAGCACAGGAAGAGAAGAGGAACAAAGAAGGGUCAUGAGGUAAAGGUGGUGGUAGCCCUAACCCUAACCUGUGCCCUUGCCCCAGUCACCCUCACAGGGUUAUUGUGAGUGUAGAAUGGAAAUAUAUCCGCUUUUUGGGGUCACCAUUAUGGAGGAGAGUGGGGUGUAAAUGAAUGAAAAUGUAUAUUUUUACAUCUGUUCUGUUCAUGAAUAAAGCUGGAUUGUU